GAUGAACGCUAGCGGCAGGCUUAAUACAUGCAAGUCGAGGGGCAGCGCAGUGUAGCAAUACAUGGGCGGCGACCGGCAAACGGGUGUGGAACACGUACGCAACCUUCCUUUAACUGGGAGAUAGCCCACCUACAGGUGGAUUAAUAUCCCAUAGUAUAUUUGAAUGGCAUCAUUUAGAUAUUAAAGCUUCGGCGGUUCAAGAGGGGCGUGCGUAUGAGUAGGUAGUUGGCGGGGUAACGGCCCACCAAGCCCACGAUCAGUAGCUGAUGUGAGAGCAUGAUCAGCCACACGGGAACUGAGACACGGGCCCGACUCCUACGGGAGGCAGCAGUAAGGAAUAUUGGUCAAUGGACGCAAGUCUGAACCAGCCAUGCCGCGUGGAGGAUGAAGGUCCUCUGGAUUGUAAACUUCUUUUCUUUGGGACGAAACCCCUGUUUCUACGGGGACUGACGGUACCAGAGGAAUAAGCACCGGCUAACUCCGUGCCAGCAGCCGCAGUAACAC
rnacentral:rRNA from 1 species